UAUGCCGUAACGAAAUACGUCGGCCAUGUUGAAGAAAAAGAUCAGAAAACAGAUAUGGAAAGGAAAGGACUAGAGUGGCGGCGGUGAUGGUGAAUAAUACGGGUCAUAUAUGCGGGUCAACCGGAAACUGCAUUUUAAUUCUGCUAAUGUGAGAUAUCGUUCAUUUUGCCGAUAGUAUUAGAAUAAUGGUUUACAAUGAAAGUGAAUUAAACGUAGCGGAUUAACGAAUUUAAAGAAAAAAAAAAAAACAAAUUGGACCAAAAUGACAACAGAACGAAUCCACGCCUGACAUUGCCUAAGAAAAGUCAGUAAGUGCUUAUUCACUCACGUAUAUUUUUUUUCUCUUCUCGUAUACCUCUGAUAGAUAAAAUAAUUUUAUUUUUCUCUCUUUCUCAUGGGGUUUAUUUCUACACUUAUUUUAAAUACCUUAUUAUGCUAUUUCAAUUGUUUUCCUUUGAAACGAAUCGUUGAUUCCGCUGAUGCAAUUAGAGAGCAAGAUGGAAGUAGAAGAAAA